rnacentral:rRNA from 1 species
UUCUUGACGUCCAGAGAACUUUCCCAGAGAUGGAUUGGUGCCUUCGGGAACUCUGAGACAGGUGCUGCAUGGCUGUCGUCAGCUCGUGUUGUGAAAUGUUGGGUUAAGUCCCGNAACGAGCGCAACCCCUAUCCUUUGUUGCCAGCGGUUCGGCCGGGAACUCAAAGGAGACUGCCAGUGAUAAACUGGAGGAAGGUGGGGAUGACGUCAAGUCAUCAUGGCCCUUACGAGUAGGGCUACACACGUGCUACAAUGGCGCAUACAAAGAGAAGCGAACUUGCGAGAGUAAGCGGACCUCAUAAAGUGCGUCGUAGUCCGGAUUGGAGUCUGCAACUCGACUCCAUGAAGUCGGAAUCGCUAGUAAUCGUAGAUCAGAAUGCUACGGUGAAUACGUUCCCGGGCCUUGUACACACCGCCCGUCACGCCAUGGGAGUGGGUUGCAAAAGAAGUAGGUAGCUUAACCUUCGGGAGGGCGCUUACCACUUUGUGAUUCAUGACUGGGGUGAAGUCGUAACAAGGUAGGCGUAGACGU